rnacentral:rRNA from 1 species
UACCAGCACCCCGAGUGGUCGGGACGUUUAUUGGGCCUAAAGCAUCCGUAGCCGGUUCUACGAGUCUUCCGUUAAAUCCAACUGCUUAACAGGUGGGCUGCGGAAGAUACUAUAGAGCUAGGAGGCGGGAGAGGCAAGCGGUACUCGAUGGGUAGGGGUAAAAUCCGUUGAUCCAUUGAAGACCACCAGUGGCGAAGGCGGCUUGCCAGAACGCGCUCGACGGUGAGGGAUGAAGGCUGGGGGAGCAAACCGG